AGCAGCCGCGGUAAUUCCAGCUCCAAUAGCGUAUAUUAAAGUUGUUGCAGUUAAAAAGCUCGUAGUUGAACCUUGGGCCUGGCUGGCCGGUCCGCCUCACCGCGUGCACUGGUCCGGCCGGGCCUUUCCCUCUGUGGAACCCCAUGCCCUUCACUGGGUGUGGCGGGGAAACAGGACUUUUACUUUGAAAAAAUUAGAGUGCCCCAGGCAGGCCUAUGCUCGAAUACAUUAGCAUGGAAUAAUGAAAUAGGACGUGCGGUUCUAUUUUGUUGGUUUCUAGGACCGCCGUAAUGAUUAAUAGGGACAGUCGGGGGCAUCAGUAUUCAAUUGUCAGAGGUGAAAUUCUUGGAUUUAUUGAAGACUAACUACUGCGAAAGCAUUUGCCAAGGAUGUUUUCAUUAAUCAGGAACGAAAGUUAGGGGAUCGAAGACGAUCAGAUACCGUCGUAGUCUUAACCAUAAACUAUGCCGACUAGGGAUCGGAUGAUGUUAAUUUUAUAAUGACUCA
rnacentral:rRNA from 1 species